GGGGCCGAAAUGGAUUCGACCGGAUCGGGAACGCUUGACGUGGCGCGUCCAGGAGCAUGCUGGCCUGGUAAAAAGUAUGCAAAAAAUAAUUGCUGAGCGUCCCUACGCUCUCGCGGCCUAAUACAGGCCUCGCAAUCCCCGCACGACGCCCGAUGGUGCGGGGAUUGAAGACAUCGGGCUGGCCCUCGCGCGGUGCAACCGGGCGCGGGGGUGAGAAAACUCCGGGAGCUGGACCGGAGCGAACGCCGUGGGUGGCGGUCGUGAGGUCGAGAUUAAAUCACCCAACACACGCGUAGAUGCGGCAGGCCGACGGUCUCGGGACGGGGGUUCGAUUCCCCCCGGCUCCAUUU
rnacentral:tmRNA from 1 species